AUUGAACGCUGGCGGCAUGCCUUACACAUGCAAGUCGAACGGCAGCACGGGAGCAAUCCUGGUGGCGAGUGGCGAACGGGUGAGUAAUAUAUCGGAACGUGCCCAGUCGUGGGGAUAACGUAGCGAAAGCUACGCUAAUACCGCAUACGAUCUAUGGAUGAAAGCGGGGGAUCGCAAGACCUCGCGCGAUUGGAGCGGCCGAUAUCAGAUUAGGUAGUUGGUGAGGUAAAGGCUCACCAAGCCGACGAUCUGUAGCUGGUCUGAGAGGACGACCAGCCACACUGGGACUGAGACACGGCCCAGACUCCUACGGGAGGCAGCAGUGGGGAAUUUUUGGGACAAUGGGCGGCAAGCCUGAUCCAGCAAUGCCGCGUGCAGGAUG
rnacentral:rRNA from 1 species